AACCUAUGCAUAGGACAUUUCCACAACAAAGCCUUGAAUCUUUCCCAUGCUUAUUAUAGGCUUUCAUCCUCCAUUUUCUUGAAUGAAGUUAAACCAUUUCAAAGUUU